rnacentral:rRNA from 1 species
GAGUGAUCGAAAGAUGAAAAGCACCUUGAAAAGAGGGUUAAACAGUACGUGAAAUUGUUGAAAGGGAAGCGCUUGUGACCAGACUUGGGCGCGGCGGAUCAUCCGGGGUUCUCCCCGGUGCACUUCGCCGUGUUCAGGCCAGCAUCAGUUCGGCGCGGGGGAAAAAGGCUUCGGGAACGUGGCUCCUCCGGGAGUGUUAUAGCCCGUUGCAUAAUACCCUGCGCUGGACUGAGGACCGCGCAUCUGCAAGGAUGCUGGCGUAAUGGUCACCAGCGACCC